CCAUGGUGUUUUUGGUGCCGGCCUCUUUCCUCCUGCCCCCGGGCCUCCCUUCCACCGCCUCGGCGCCGCUCUGACUCUCGCAGCGCGCCAACUUUGAGGAAGACAAAGAAGAGGCAACUUCUGGGAAGUAAAGAAGUCAUGGAAUCUAACUUUCGGUUUUCAUAAUAACAAUUUACAAGGCACAUUAAACCACCAGGAUUGUACCUUUUGGCUACAAUGUGACGUGGGCUUCUGUUGAAGUUUUCAACCUUUCGAGGAAACGCUGGAAACUUGGUACAAGGCAGAGACCUCUGCAUGUUGAAGACUCGACGCACGAGCGUGAGAUUUUAAUCACGCAAGCACCCAGUUUUAUGCAUCAAUGAAAAGAAGGCUUACACGUGCACAUUCCUGAUGUGAUAUACUCAGCAAGUUACUGUCGCACGUUUAUGCAGUGAGCCUCUCGUGACUGCGGCACAUUGAUUUCGACUCGUCUUUUUUAUUAAAUGAACGCAAAUCAAUUGAAAACAGUUCCCAGGCGUCUCGUCAAAAUACCGAAAUAGAGUCGAGACAUUUAUCCA